UUCCGUGCGCUGCUACCAUGCAGUCGUACGAGAAGGUUCUUUCGGGAACUGGAGAGUGGCGCACGGGUGAGUAACGCGUGGGGACCUACCUCUUAGUGGGGGAUAACGGUUGGAAACGACCGCUAAUACCGCAUACGCCCUUCGGGGGAAAGAUUUAUCGCUAAAAGAUGGACCCGCGUUGGAUUAAAUAGUUGGUGAGGUAACGGCUCACCAAGUCAGCGAUCCAUAGCUGGUUUGAGAGGAUGAUCAGCCACACUGGGACUGAGACACGGCCCAAACUCCUACGGGAGGCAGCAGUGGGGAAUAUUGGACAAUGGGCGCAAGCCUGAUCCAGCCAUGCCGCGUGAGUGAAAAAGGCCUUCGGGUUGUAAAGCUCUUUCAAAUGCGAAAAUGAUGACGGUAACAUCAGAAAAAGCCCCGGCUAAUUUCGUGCCAGCAGCCGCGGUAAUACAAAAGGGGCAAGCGUUGUUCGGAUUUACUGGGCGUAAAGGGCACGCAGGCGGUCCUGCCAGUCAGGGGUGAAAGCCCGGGGCUCAACCCCGGAACUGCCUCUGAUACUGCAGGACUAGAGACUAGGAGAGGGUGGUGGAAUUCCCAGUGUAGAGGUGAAAUUCUUAGAUAUUGGGAGGAACACCAGAGGCGAAGGCGGCCACCUGGACUAGAUCUGACGCUCAGGUGCGAAAGCGUGGGGAGCAAACAGGAUUAUAUAGCUGGGUAAGUCACGAAAGCGUGGGGGAGCGAACAGGAUUUACAUACCCUGGGUAGUCA
rnacentral:rRNA from 1 species